ACCAAUAUAGCAAAGUAUAAUGCAUAGGGUUUAGGACUCUAUAUCAAAGGUAAUCCCCUUUUAAUGGUA
rnacentral:tRNA from 1 species